UUCAGUGAAAUUCGAUACGUAUUGCUCUCGUAUUCGAAGUGCGAAAGCUGAAUUGCACGAUCGUGUGUAUUCCUCUUCGAGUAAUCAAAUUAUCAAUGCAUCGAUUGCGGUCUCCCUUUCAGAAACGUCGUUACGUUCAAUGUAGCAACGAUACUUGAUGGAAUUACAGUUGACGAAGGGUUCGACGAAGGGGCGGAUGAGAGGGAGAUCGAUGCUCGCCAGUAGGAGAGAGACUCGCAAGCGAGUCGAUGAAAAGGUCAAAGGUUUCAGAUAUCGUUUGCCGACAACGCGUAACAUCGCUUCAUUGUCGCAGCUGAAAUAAUGUCAUUUCUGACCUGACGCCGUUAUAAUCAAGCGGCAUCGACACAUUUCGGGCAAUCAGACGUGAUCUUGACUCGUAAAUUUGCAAGAUUAUUAUAGUGGCCAAGUUGAUUUCCCAUCUUGUUGCGAGAACGGAUGGCAAGCCUUUUAAUAAUCUGCAUGCUCACGUAUGAAUAACCAAUGUAUGAAUGAGCAAUUGUCAAUUCAUAGCGAGCUUGCCGGGACCGAAUGUGUCGCAAACGGCCGACUGAUAAGGUUCGCGGAUAACAGGCGAGUAUACGUGAUAGCAAGAUAUGAGGCGCGGUGAUCUCGGGCGGACGACCUCGAGACUCGAGACUGCAAGAACAAGCGGCGCGACUAACUCGUUCAUCGUGCUCUCCCAAUCCAAAGAUUUACCAGUCUCCGGUUAUGUUUGAUGCACCAUUAUGUUUUCGAUUACGUUAGAUAAUGAAGAAUGUUCUACGUCAACUCUAUCGUUAUUCUGCUGAUAAUGGAUGAUGAAUAUUCGUUGCAGACAGCACAUCGAGUGCAGAUAAAUUGGUUGGUAAAAGAUAGUGAGCUGGUAAAGUCGACACGAAGGAUAUUUUUGUAGCAGCAAAACAGAAGUGGCAGAAGCUUUACUUGGC